rnacentral:lncRNA from 1 species
AUUCUUUUAUUUUUCUUUUUUUGUGAAUUGUCAUUGUUUCUCUUUUCAAUGAAUUAUGGGCGUAAUGAGUUGUGGUGGACAAUUUGCACAAGAAAUUUCAGAUUGAAUGAGCAAUUUUGGAGAUAUUCAUGCGAGUAAAUCUGAAUAUAUUUGUUCAUUUAGAUAUUGUGUUCUGUUCAUUUAUAAAUUGUGUUAUGUUCAUUUAUGUUCUCGGCGAAUCGCUUUUAUUUUCGUUUCUGUUAUGAAAUCUGCUUUUUUUUCCAUUUUUUUAACAUAAAAUAUUUUGAACAUGCUUUAAAAAUUUACGAACAUCUAAAUAAACUAUUUGAAUUUCUCUUACUAACAUAAAAUAUUUAACAUAAAGCAUUUCGAACAAGCUUAAUAAAAUUACGAACAUCUAAACAAAAAUAUUCGAAUUUUUUUUACUGAUAUAAAAUAUUUAACAUUUGAACUUUUUGAACAGGCCGAAAACAAUUACGAAC